rnacentral:rRNA from 1 species
CCCCUAGAUGUUCUGGGCCGCACGCGCGCUACACUGAACAGUUCAACAAGUCUUAACCUUGGCCGAUAGGUCUGGGUAAUCUUUGAACGCUGUUCGUGAUUGGGAUAGACCUUUGCAAUUAUGGGUCUUCAACGAGGAAUUCCUAGUAAACGCAAGUCAUCAGCUUGCAUUGAUUACGUCCCUGCCCUUUGUACACACCGCCCGUCGCUCCUACCGAUUGGGUGCUCCGGUGAAUUGUUUGGACUGCUGUCAGUCUUUUAGGCUGUUGGCGAGAAGCUCUGUGAACCUUAGCACCUAGAGGAAGGAGAAGUCGUAACA